UACGGAGGAUGCAAGCGUUAUCCGGAAUGAUUGGGCGUAAAGCGCGCGCAGGCGGCUGGGCAAGUCGGCCGUGAAAUCUCCGGGCUUAACUCGGAGGGGUCGGGCGAGACUGCACAGCUCGAGGCGGGUAGAGGGCAGUGGAAUUCCGGGUGUAGUGGUGGAAUGCGUAGAGCUCCGGAGGAACACCAGUGGCGAAGGCGGCUGCCUGGGCCCGGCCUGACGCUGAGGCGCGAAAGCGUGGGGAGCGAUCCGG
rnacentral:rRNA from 1 species